UACGGGGGGGGCAAGCGUUGUUCGGAAUUACUGGGCGUAAAGGGCUCGUAGGCGGCCAACUAAGUCGGACGUGAAAUCCCUCGGCUUAACCGGGGAACUGCUUCCGAUACUGGAUGGCUUGAGUGUGGGAGAGGGAUGCGGAAUUCCAGGUGUAGCGGUGAAAUGCGUAGAUAUCUGGAGGAACACCGGUGGCGAGGGCGGCAUCCUGGACCAUUACUGACGCUGAGUGAGCGAAAGCCAGGGGAGCAAACGGG
rnacentral:rRNA from 1 species